AAUUAGAUUAGUUUGAUAUUUAAGUUACUUAUGAAAAUUCAAAACUUAAUUAAAUAUUAAUAAAUUCAAAACGAAAUUAAAUCUCUAGUAGUUCUCUUCCCACUUUGUAAGCUUUAUUAAUUGAGAAAUAGGCCCAAUUUCCCACUUAUGAUACUACUAAGUGAACUUUAUUUUUUCUAUUCACACCUACUUUUUCUUGUUUCCACCACUCUCCGUUAUUCAUCGCCCUCCCCUCCAC
rnacentral:lncRNA from 1 species